AGAUUUCUCAAGGUAAAUGGAUUGCUAGAUCACGACCGGGACUACUAUGCUGCAGUCAUGAUCAGCGAGAAGGUAUUCGUCGAGAAGUUCAUAUGCCCUCAUAAGGAUGCUGCACCGCAUCUCGCUGAAGAUUAUGCAACAGCUUGCAGAGGGGAGGUUCCAGCUAGAUUCAGUUUUACAUGAACCAAGACUAAUAAGAAAAUUGAGAAGCAAACCGAUGCUUGUAUGGUAUGGUGCUGAAAAGCAGAGGGCAAAGGAGAUGGUCGAUGCUAAUACCUGCGAAGAGAUGUGAUUUAAAGAUCAACUGUGUGUCCCUUCUCUGGUACUUGUUGAAAUUGUAGAAACAAGAUUAAUGAAAUCUAGGUGAGGGGAACGGGUCGAAUGAUGAAGUGACUUACCACCAGGUGAAGAUGUGUUGAAACCGGAUGUAGAUGGUGCUUUUUUUCUUCUUCCAGGAAACGAGACGAAACAUGGCGGCAAUGGCUUGGCUGUACUAUACAUUAUUCUGAAGGUUCUGUUAGUUUUUGACACCCUGAAGCUUCAGCAACAAGUAUGGCCUGACAAUGCAUGAGUUUUAUUCAGGGAAGCUCCUACUUUUCUCUUUUUUGCAUC